ACUGGGUUAUGUAUAUAAUCAUUAUUUUCAUAAGCACCACAUACUGCUUAGCCAUAUAAGAGGUGCUUGGUUAACAUUUGUUGAAUUAAAAUCUGUAGUUUACCUCACCCACUUGCAUUUUAUGUUUUAGAAAAAUAAAUAUCAAAGCACCUUGGAUUUGCAAGGACAUGGACUAGAAAUACAAAGUGAGGGGAAAAAACAUAUUAGCAUUAUGCUGUCCAAAACCCUUUGUCCCAGUUGUUAAAUGUCACCCUUUAUAGGAUACCGGCAAGUGGGAUAAGAACAAAAUGGUAUCAGUUUGAUAUUACUGUAGUUCUCUUUCAGUAGUAUCUUAUGAGGAAGUAGGUUCAGCUCAAGUCUGAGAUGAAUAAGUAGGAAAACCAUGCUUCUGAGAGGUUGUCUCGGGAACUGUUUGAUGAUCUCACUGGCUUCAACAGUAGUGGAUUUAAUACACAGGGGUCUUCUUGGAGUGCAACUAUCAAGUGUGCAGCCAGACUUCAGGGAUCUGGGACCAACGGAUGAUGGCUGUCGUCAUUAAGUGGCCAAUUUUCUUUGUUUUAUAUAUUUUUUAAAGACUAUUUUAGAGCACUUUUUGUUUCACAGGAAAAAUUGAGAGCUUUGAAGGCACCACAUUUUCCCAUUUCUCCCCUUCUGCAUACAUGUAUAGCCACCCCCAUUAUCAACAUUCUCUACAGAGUGUACAUUUGUUACCACAGUGACAUUUCAUUAUGGCCUAAAGUCCACAGUUUACCUUACGGUUCACUCCUGGUCUCAUACGUUCUUGGUCUUGUAAAGACUUGCAUUGACUAUGAUGGUAUCACACAGAGUAUUUCCACAGCCCUGAAAGUGCUCUGUGCUCUGCAACCCCUGGAAACCACUCAUCUUUAUACUAUGUCCAAGAUUGACCCUUCCUGGAAAGUCAUAUAACUGGAAUCACACAGAAUGUAGCGUAUUCGAAUUGGCUUCUUUCAUUUAAUAAUAUGCCUUUACAUGUUCUCUAUUCCUUGAUAGCUCUUAUCAUUUAAAUGUGUUCCCCGGAGUUCAUGUAUUGGAAACCCUGUGGUGUUGGGAGAUGGUACCUAAAAACAGGUGAUUAGAUCAGGGGGCUCUGACGUCUUGAAUGGGUUAAUGGGUUCGUUGUUGAGAGAGUGGGCUUAUCGUAAAAGCAAGUUCAGCACCUUCUGCUCUCCUGCCCUUCUGAGUUCCACCAUGGGAUAACUCAGGGUCAGGGGCCUCACCAUCAGUACCUUGAUAGAGGACUUCCCAGUCUCCAACAUUGUGAGACAUAAAUUUCUUUUCUUUCUAAAUUAGGUAGUUUCUGGUAUCAACACAAAACACAGUAAGACAAUGCCUUGUUCCAUUUUAGUGCUGAAUAGUCCACUGUUUAGUGAUUCUGUCACCUACUGAAGAACAUGUUGGUUGUUUCCAAAUUUUGGCACAUUUGAUUAAAGUUGCUAUCACAUUUCAUGUCCAUGUUCUUGUGGCUUUCAAAUCGUUUGGCUACAUGAAAAUUAUGUCUCACACAAUAGGAGUAUGUUCAUUUUUUUAAGAACUUGCCACAUUACCUUCCAAAGUGGUGACCUAUGGUUUUCAUCUUUGCUCAUUUCUCCAUAUUUACAACAGACUGGCUUCCUCUCUAGGGCCCAUAUUGUCUGUUUUGUCAUAACUACAUUUUAAACAAGGCUUCCAGUUACUGUUGUUUCAGUAAUUCUUAGUUUAAAUUUGAGGAACAUUCCCUGAUUAACUUGGCUUGAAUUGAGUGUCUGUAUAUAACUGACUCAAGAUUACUUAGCAUGAAUAUGGCUGUGAAGUCUCACCUAGAAGCUGUAGAGGAGGGAAGGGCAAAGUUAUUCAAUCAGCAUUCUCUGAGGGUGUUCAAUUACAGCAAUGGAUUAUAGUGGGAGGUGAUGUAUUUAAAGAAUAUUAUCUCAUUAUGACAGUUUGGACUAUCCAAGAAGUGGUAACUAAGAAAGAUUUAGAAAUUCCUGUUGUUCAUUGGGAAUAACGCCUGUGAAGGAUAAAGGGAAAAAGGAACAAGGCUAUGCAAGGAAAGCCUACAAGUCUUGCGCUUAUGAAGGUAGAGUAGGAAGGAGGAAGACGAAACUGCAAUACAUCUCUGAGCGCCAUGGCCAGCCCAGCCAGGCCUGUAGUACAGAGCCCUCGGUCAGGAGUCCUGUGCUGGAUGGAAGAGUCCUGGCCCUGUUAGCCACAUGGUGCUCAGUUACUGACUGGAAGCUGCUUGAGAGGAGAACAACCUCUGCUCUCAGCUGGCAGGAGAUCCCAAAAGGUCUGCACCCUGGAAGCCUUGGGCUGACUCCAGUCCCUACAGCAAGUUCUCCCUUCCAGACCAAGUGGUGCACCCAGUGGCCAGCCCACCCUGCUCACAGAAAUCCAGCAUGGCAGGAGAGUCGGACUGCAGGCUGUGUAACCAGAACCAGUACCAAGACUAACCUGCUGAUGGCUUUGAGCACCCUGGUCGAUUGCUGCUAGGCAUGGUCCAAGUGCUUCUGGGUAGAGGCAUGGUGCACAGAAUACUCGGGAGAAGACGAGAAACACAACCAACAGAAAAUACAAAGCAGCAGGCCAACCAGAUUUGCCAGUUGCCAGGAAGAGUCUCCAGAUGUGCAAUAGGAGAUUUCCGGCUGGGCCAGAGAGAAAGGCAAAGGCUCCAAUCAGCAAGACCUCAUGCACCUGUCCCAGCAAAGCGGCUGUCUUUACUUUCUCCCCCAGACACCUAGACGGGUUUGCCUUUAAUUAGAGGACACUGUGUGUGUGUGUGUAAGUUUGUAUGUGUAUGUGUGUGUUGUGGGGGUGACGGGGUGUUCUUGGCAGGGAAUUCAUUGCCAGAGAUCCAAGAAGAACCUGAAGAGUCAUAUUUCAUGAGAUUGGCUUUCAAGGCCCUCAACAUCUUCUGGAAAUUUGUAUCCAACGUGAGUUAAUAGCCAUGACUACGGAAAAUCGGCAAUGGCAAUGAAAGUUUAUGGAGCAGAAUGGGAGUGAUGCUGGAACAACUUGGAAAUCAUACAGCUUAUGAACUUAGUAUUUUUUAAAAAUAAAAAAGACAAUAUGUAUCAUGGAAAGAAACUGUCAUUACAUUGAUUAGCCCAUUUGUAGUUAACAUUUUAACCUGAAAGCCGUGGUCAUUUUUAUCAAAUUUUUUAUAUGUGUGUGCAUAUAUGUAUACAGAGAUUGUUUAUAAAAAUAAAUACUUAAAACUGUAAGAAGGACAUUUUCUUCUCAAGAAUAAUCCCAAGUAACUACUACAACAUAAAAUGUUAGAAAAUAUUUUACUAGACCUUUGCCGCAGUUACAGAAAAGAAACAGUUCAAAGUUAUACAACGUUGGAUUUUUUUCCCUUAUCCCCAAAACUCUGCAAGAGGUUACUAACAUAGUUGUGGCUUUCAUUCUUUCAAAUAAUUCCCAGUUCACUUGAAAGAUUUUUCUUUCAACAGAUCUUUUUUCUAACGUGUGUGCUGCUAUUUUAUACAGCGAGUGUUUACUCAGUAAAAGCCCUUGUCAUUUCAAACGGCUUCUCUCACCUUCAGUCUUGUUUUCCCCACAUCUCCUUGGAUGUGUAUUUGGGAUUUAAGUGCCAUGAUGAGCCAGGGCUAACAAUUAGGAGACAGGUGUUCCACUGCCCCUUGUACCUCACUGAUCUGGUGUGAGAUUGACCCCCAGCACCACUGAGCACUUCCUGAGAGAAUCGUGACAUUCAAACUUUGCUUUCUUCUUAGUCACCACAAAAUAGGACAAAUCUCUGUAUCCAAUCCCUGCCUCCCUCGAAAUUCUUCUUAGCACAACCUCUGUAAGCCCAGGCUGGGUGUGGGCAGGGAUCCAGAAUUUAAUGUUUUUUAAAUUACCGUAUUACAGAAUUAUUCAUAAAAUUCAUGAAAAUGAGCUAUGAGGUUUCAGGAAACAUUUGUUAUGUUAAAAAAAAAUUACUCCAUAUUGUCCAAACAAAUGAAAGUUAUCUCAAGGGGAUGGGAGGCAGACUGAGUCCUGUCUUGCUCCCAUCAGAAAGAAGAAAACAAUUACAAUCUAACAGAGAUCACCACCUUCUAUCUUGAACCCUGAACUUCAAAUCUAGAGACAAUCAGGCAUCUUCUGGAAAGUACUUGUCCACUAGGUCAGUGAGCUGGUUUUAAUUUCAUGUGAGGACAGGAAGGCUCAUUUAUUCCUGCGCUGAGUGUGUGAGUGUCUCUGUGUGUGUGUGUGUGUGUGUGUGUGUGUAGAAAGAUUUACUUCUAAAAUUGGCUCACGUGAUCAGAGAGGCUUGUCGAAUUCAGAAUUUGUAGGAUGGGCCCCCAGGCAGGAGA
ensembl:lncRNA